rnacentral:rRNA from 1 species
AUUGAACGCUGGCGGCAUGCCUUACACAUGCAAGUCGAACGGCAGCACGGGUGCUUGCACCUGGUGGCGAGUGGCGAACGGGUGAGUAAUACAUCGGAACGUACCUUAUCGUGGGGGAUAACGCAGCGAAAGCUGUGCCAAUACCGCAUACGCCCUGAGGGGGAAAGCGGGGGAUCGAAAGACCUCGCGCGAUUAGAGCGGCCGAUGCCUGAUUAGCGUGUUGGUGGGGUAAAAGCCCACCAAGGCGACGAUCAGUAGCUGGUCUGAGAGGACGAUCAGCCAAACUGGGACUGAAACACGGCCCAAACUCCUACGGGGGGCAGCAGUGGGGAAUUUUGGACAAUGGGGGCAACCCUGAUCCAGCAAUGCCGCGUGAGUGAAGAAGGCCUUCGGGUUGUAAAGCUCUUUUGUCAGGGAAGAAACACCGGCUCUAACACAGUCCGGGAAUGACGGUACCUGAAGAAUAAGCACCGGCUAACUACGUGCCAGCCGCCGCAGUAA